AUUUAAUUAAAGAAAAGGUGAAAAGUCGAAAAUUGUCAAAACAAAAAUACAAAAAUAAAAGGAAAAGCCCCAGUUAACGUCUACAAUUUAGAAGACAACCACCUGUCGCCGCUCCUUACCCACGCCGUCGCCGGUCAUUUCCCACGCCGUCGCUGCCACUUUCUCAUCCUGGCGCCUCCACUUUCACCAACCUGACGACGCCGCCUCCCUUCUACCAUAACCCACUACAUCUCCACCUAAAUCUCCCUCUCUCUAUCACGGCGAUGUUGCCGGCUACCUUCCGGACGAGCUGGGCCUGCUGAUCUAUCUGGCGCUCUGCCACAUUAACUCCAACAGAUUCUACGGCCUCGUUCCGGAAUACCUUCUACAUUCCAGUUCCAGAUAUUAUUUUGGGGCGUUUCAGAUUUCUCACUUCUCUUAAGGGGUUUGACUAAAAAAGAGAGGAGAAAUUCCUGACAAAUUUCAACUUCUGCUAGCUGAAAUUCUGCCAUGGAAAGACGAGCAGAACGUCUAUUUUCGAAGCUAUAGAAGAAGUAUCAGACUACAAGUUGCCAUCUCAGAGCAGGAUGAAGGGCAGCGCUGAUGGAAAAACUGUAGGCCCAUCAGGCUGUAUGGAAAUCGUUCACACUACAAAUUUCUUGAUUUUGGUUGAUGUUAUGCUCUAAAACCUUGAAAAGGAUACUGAUGUUGUGGAUGCCAAAAUUGGCGAUGAUGGCGGUUGCUUGUUAGGAAUUGUUAUGACAAAGUGAUUCCAGAGAGGUUGCAUCUGCUGCUUCGUACCUCAAAGCUACCUUAGAUAAGGAGGGAAUUUAAGAAUUUAUUGGCAAAUUGUCCAAAGAUAGAGCGUAUCACUGAUGAAUUUCGGAAAGAGUGAGCCAAGUUUGUUGGUAAGAGUGAUGAUGAAGAUGGAAGCUUGUUGGAUGGUCGAAUUUGUUGGAUGAAUGGUGGUGAAUGUUGAAGGUUGGAGAUUGUAUUAGAGGUUUUUUAGUAGAUAAAUGAAGGCGUAGUUAGAGAUGAUACAAUUAUGAAUGUAAUGUCUUUUGAUGAAAUACCAAACAAGAUGUUUGACUUUUAUGAUAUUAAUCGAGUUUUAUUAAUUAUUUUUUA